rnacentral:lncRNA from 1 species
UGUUAACCAAGUUGAAUUUUUCAAAACAUUUAUUUUACUUGUGAAGGUUAAUGGAUGUUAUGCGAUUGAUUUUGACUUGGAAAUGUUUUAGUGUGAUUUUGAAAAAUAUACUUGAUGUUGAUCAAGCACCUUCAAUUUUUAGUAUUUUUUGAAAGGUUAAUUUUAAGAGUCAUUUUAUCUUUUUGGAUUAACAAUUAUGCAUCAACUAAAAAUAUAAUAAAAUAAACUAAAAAAUAAAGCAAA